rnacentral:lncRNA from 13 species
AUUUUUUCAACUUUAUUGAUAAGAAUAACAUAAAAGGCAUGUAAAAAUAGUGGAAAGUAUAAGACAUCUUGUGGAAGUAUAAAGAAAAGUACACAGAAUUAUAGUGGGAGGAAAAUAUUCUAUGUUGCUAAACAUUGGCAAGACCCUGACUGAAAGAUUGUACUAGUUCAGACCUCUUCAAUUACAAAAUAGUAAUUACUUUUGUUUUGCCUUUGUUUAAAGCCCCCAUGCAGAGAUGCUUAAUAGAAACAUUGUUCUUUGGAGAGCACUGCUGAGAGUUGAAGAGUCAAUGGUUAAAAGAAGGUUAACCAGGGAUGCAGCAAGAACCAACAGAACCAGGCUGUAUUCACAUCUUACAGAUUAUGCUAAAUGGAAUCGAACUUAUACAAGAAAGUAGAAGUACUUCAAGGAAUAAUUUUCUCUUGGCUGCAGAGUAUACCUUUGAUAUAUUUUGUCCCAUUAUAUUGUUAUAUAAAUACAUAUCUGUGUCUCAUAGUUUGUGAAUUAAGCAUAUU